UUUAUCUUUGUUUAUAGAUAAAUAUACAUGUAUAUUAUGCAGCGAAUUUGAAGUUGAUGAAUCUAUGUAAUAAAUAUAUUUUGAAAUAAUGUGUUACAUAAAAUAUAAUGAGAAAAAAAAUAAUAAAUGCAAAGUGCGAGCUACAUUGCUAUAUAAUGAUAAUAUUCUAUAUUUCUUGAUCAUCCUAUUUCUUUCGCGCGCAAAAGAGUAAACGGUAUAGUCGAUUCGCAGUACCAUGGGGGCAUCAUCCAGAGUAUCGAAGGACAGUAGCACAUCCGCUCGUGCACACGAUCGUACACCCUCGGGAGUCCUCGUAGCUCUUCGUGAAUCCGUUCGUGGACCGCCUGGGGGCCCUACGAGCGUAACACCGGUAGCCACUACGCCAAAAGGGUCGCAUUCGCGCGGGAAGAGAGAAAAAAAGAGAAAGAUAGAAGUAUACAGACAGAAGGAGACAGAGUGAAAGAAGCAACUGAGGAUGGAAUAUCCAGGGCCGAAGCCUGAGAAAGAAAACUGUAGAUUUGAGAGAACUGGCAUCUUUUUUUCAAGAUGCAUUUAAACUUAGAAAAAAUGAACAGAGAAAGAACGGAGCGGGGGAGGAGAGAGGAAAUCACUGGCAGCGGCCACUAUAGGUACGGAGCCACAGGGGGGAAGGAGUGGAGGAAAAGUAAGGAGGGGGACAGGGUUCGAACGGACGGGAGACAUUCCAAUCUCUCGUGGCAAACUUGCCUGCUUUGCUUCGUUCGCUUGUCUGCUUGCCCGUUUGCCAAGAUAUCGUCGUCCUAAAGCCGACCCACACUACAUCGAAUGGCAUACGUAACCAUAUAAUCUCAUACGAUUAUAAAAUCGAUUUUGAAGAGAAAAGUAUUUCUUAAAAAUCCAGAUUCGAUAUAUAUCGUAUAUAUCGAUAUAUAUCGUAUCAUAUCAUCAAGAUCGCCCUCGAAUAGAGAAGAGAUUCGAUGACAUACAUUCGAUGUCCAUGACAUAUAGGUUAUGUAACAUCAUGUAACAUUUAAUGAUAUUUUAUUUAUAGAUAUUUUUAUAUACAAUUCAUUUCUUUUACAUAU